GUCUAUGGCCAUACCACACUGAACAUGCCCGAUCUCAUCUGACCUCAGAAGCUAAGCAGGGUAGGGCCUGGUUAGUACUUGGAUGGGAAAAAUAUUUACUAAGAACCAAUGGAAGACAAAGUUU
rnacentral:rRNA from 1 species